AAAAAAAUAAAAAUCCUUCUCAGGAUUGAGCCCUUUAUGCCAAAAUACACUGAAGUAUUAGUGGGAAAAUACCAUGAUGUCUUUCCCAGUUUACUCUCGCCGUUCGGAGAAAGCAUGUGUGUGUGGAGACGCAGAGAGAGAUCAAAUGAUAAGGCCGGUGAGGCAAAAUGUUAAUAAUGGAAGAGUCUGGGUAACAAGUCACGGGUGUGAGGCUGUGAGGACAUAGUGUUUGUGUUCUUCUUCUUCUGUUUUUGUUUGUUUGUUUGUUUGUUUUAAGUAGGCUCCAGGCCCAAUGUGGGGCUUGAACUCAACACCCUGAGAUCAAGGGUCACACUCUCUGCCAACGGAGCCAGCCAGGAACCCUAGAGUAGUCUUGUUCUUACAACUCUUGCGGGGCCCUCUAGCCACCAAGGCAUACACCUUUCUUGGAACGCAAAAGGAGGUUCUUCGAAAAACGAAGGCGCCGCUAACAGAACUGGGCCGAGGAGAUCAUCUGCGGUGGCGGGCUGGCCACUUGCUCCGAGAGUACAGGAUUUAUGGUUCUGGCGUGCCAGGAGGAAACGCCUCGUUGCCAGAUGGAAUUCAGACCCGGGAGUGCGUUUGCUUCCCAGGGCCAGAGACAAGGACCGGGCAGGAUCAGGAAGAGGACAAUUUCUCCAUCGAGUUGUGAAAGGGGGAAACGGAGAAUGAGCCAAGUUGGAGGUCAAGGACCAAGCCUGGAGAUACGAUCAGAGGCCAAGAGGAAAAGGAAACACAGGCGUGAUAAGUGCUAGUCACAAGGUGAGCAAGACAGAGAGAGAGAGAGAGAGAGAGAGAGAGAGAGAGAGAGAGAGACAAAAGAUGUGUCCUCUGGCCUCGCGGAGUUUCCAGUCCAGAGAAGACAGCAGGCAUUCGUCAGAACCAAACUCACACGGUCCUAAAGGCAGAGUCAUCUCUGAGCCCCAGCCUCUGUCCUGGAGGAAGUCAGCUGAAGAGGGAGGACAGACAGAGAGCCCAUCGAUUAAGCGGUGAUGUGAUGGGUCCUGUACGGGGUGGCCGGACCUCCGAGGGAUGGCGGGGCAGGGGGCCCCCACUGGACAGUUUCUGAGAGGAGCCGCCCGGUGCAGGCGUGGAGAGGAGGAGCAGGGAGGACUCCCGGGAGAGCUGGAGCAUAAGCUAACGGGCCUUGGAGCAGCCGUGGGGAGGCGAGCAGGGACGGUCUGCAGAAAGAUUCACAAGUGAACCCGCGGGGCUCAAGGCCUGGGUGACCGGGAGGAGGCUGUGGGUGCUGGUCAGGGGCGAGGACCCUGAAGGAAGCAGGAGGACAAAGAGUGUGGUCCCCCACCCGCCCCCUACCCGGGACCAGGCCCCGCCCCAGCCUGCUGGAUGUGGAUCUGGAUUUCACGGAGAUUCCCAGUGCUUGCGGGGCACGUGGCCACCGGAGAUGCGCCGGCAGCGUGGACCCUAGCAGAUACGAGCACGGCUCAAGGAGCUCGUGCUCUGUCCCCACAGGGAGCAGGGGACAGGCCAGUGGCCGUGGCGCCGGGCAGCAGUGGCGCGGGAGCGUCCUGGCAGAUGCGGGGGAGGUGGGGGGCUCCGGAGGCGCGGGG